GCCUACUUGGAUAGCAUGAGAACUCCAUCUUUUGGGCAUCAUUUUCGUGGUAAUGACAGAGGUUGUACUGGUACAUUUAUUGAUCUCCUCGUCUAGUGAUUCAGAUGCUUGGGGCCUUUGUGUUUUUUUACUUCAUUGUCCAUUUCAGCACAGAAGCAAACAUUGCAAGGAGUUCUGUGAACUUAUGAUUCGUAUGAUAACUUAAGACUCCAUCUGCUCAACUCUACAGACGUACAGUACAGAGAGCUUCACUGGCCUUGCACGCUGCUGAGAGUGAAUGGGAAUUCAACAAAGGCA